AUGGAAGACUACUUCUCCAAGGUACCUACAUACCCUCCUCGUCUCUUCCGCAGAAGGUACCGAAUGCAGCGUAGUUUGUUUGUGAAGAUUGUCACCGAUUAUGAGGCCGCCUCAUAUUACUUUAAACAUCGUAGAUCCGCCGCCGGUAUCAUGGGGUUUAGUGCAUAUCAAAAGAUAUCGGCGGCAAUGUGGGUACUCGCUUAUGGAUGCUAG
rnacentral:rRNA from 1 species